AAUAAAACAAAUGUUAAAAUGGAUAGACAAAACAAAUAAAUAAACUUAUAACUAAUACACGAUAUUUCAAUAAUAUACCCACCUCGCUAUACACGCUACUGAGUGAAUCUUGCAGUCAAAUCUAACAAACAAAAAAUAAAUAAAUAAUAAUAAUAAAUCCAAAAACUUAAAUAUAACCAAAGUUAAAGCCCAUAGCAAGCUAAUAAUAAAUUAAUAUUCUUACUAAUAAAACCAACAAUAAAUAAAAAUCUCAAAAAAAAAAUCAAGCAAAGCAAAUAAAUAAACAAUCACGAUAUAAGAAAUUCUAAAUAAAGACGAACACUAUGGAAAGAAACAAAACUAGCCUCUCUCCUGGAUCCACGGAGUACUUACAACCUGGACAUAGCUACAAAUAAGAGCAUCGACAGCAGCGCCUUCUUCUGUCUUCCCCUCCGGGCCACUGAAGACUGGAUGACAGCGACUGAUGACGCCCCUAGAGUUAUCAAAUCAACAAUACAACUAACAAACCAGCUAAAUGUAAUUAUAUUUAAGAAUAGUAAUCCAAAUUAAAUUUAAAGAAUAGUAAUCCAAAUUGAAUUUAAAGAAUAGUAAUCUAAAUUGAAUUUAACGAAGAAAAUCUGACUUAGUCUUUACUCUUCCCCACCAAAUUAAAUCUGUAUAAAUAACUACAACUUUACUAGAUAGAUAUAUAUAUGUAUAUAAAAAGAAAACACUCAAUUAUUUGUAAAAUUCAAACUUUAUUAAUAAACACUUAUAUUAAGUUUCGCCUACUACUAGCUUAUAAUACUUACCACAUAAGUGAAUUGUAAAUAAGCUGCCAACUAAUUUCUAGAAAGUACUAACGCAAAGCACUGAGAAAUGAAUAAAGACACCCUGUUCCCUCUUCUCUCACCUUUACGCUGCUGGGCAGCCUAAAGCUUGAGGCGAGAAAAAGCAGGGCAAUUGUGUAUGUGAUUCCCUCGCAUGCAGGCUGAAA